rnacentral:rRNA from 1 species
GAUUAACGCUGGCGGCGUGCAUAACACAUGCAAGUCGAACGAUGAAACUUUAAUGAACCCUUCGGGGAGAAUUAAAGCGGAUUAGUGGCGAACGGGUGAGUAACGCGUGAGUAACCUGCCUUACACAAGGGGAUAGCCUUUGGACACGAAGGAUAAUACCCUAUAAAACCAUAAAAGCACAUGCAAUUAUGGUCAAAGUGAUAGCGGUGUAAGAUGGACUUGCGUCUGAUUAGCUAGUUGGAGAGAUAAAAGCCCACCAAGGCAACGAUCAGUAGCCGGCGUGAGAGAGUGUACGGCCACAUUGGGACUGAGACACGACCCAGACGCCUACGAGAGGCAGGAGUGGGGAAUUUUGCACAAGGGGGGAAACCCUGAUGCAGCGACGCCGCGUGAUUUAGAAUGCCUUCGGGUUGUAAAAAUCUUUUGGAUAGGAAGAAAAUGACAGUACUAUACGAAUAAGGUCCGGCUAAUUACGUG